GCCAUGGUGUUUAAACUGAACAUGAAGUUAGAAUUCUUAAGUAUCAAAACUAAAUUCAUGUUCAAUCUAAACCCCAUGGC
rnacentral:miRNA from 1 species